CGCGUGUACUGGUCCGGGCCGGGCCUUUCCCUCUGUGGAACCCCAUGCCCUUCACUGGGUGUGGCGGGGAAACAGGACUUUUACUGUGAAAAAAUUAGAGUGCUCCAGGCAGGCCUAUGCUCGAAUACAUUAGCAUGGAAUAAUAGAAUAGGACGUGUGGUUCUAUUUUGUUGGUUUCUAGGACCGCCGUAAUGAUUAAUAGGGACAGUCGGGGGCAUCAGUAUUCAAUUGUCGGAGGUGAAAUUCUUGGAUUUAUUGAAGACUAACUACUGCGAAAGCAUUUGCCAAGGAUGUUUUCAUUAAUCAGGAACGAAAGUUAGGGGAUCGAAGACGAUCAGAUACCGUCGUAGUCUUAACCAUAAACUAUGCCGACUAGGGAUCGGACGGUGUUAUAUUUUGACCCGUUCGGCACCUUACGAGAAAUCAAAGUGCUUGGGCUCCAGGGGGAGUAUGGUCGCAAGGCUGAAACUUAAAGAAAUUGACGGAAGGGCACCACCAGGGGUGGAGCCUGCGGCUUAAUUUGACUCAACACGGGGAAACUCACCAGGUCCAGACACAAUGAGGAUUGACAGAUUGAGAGCUCUUUCUUGAUUUUGUGGGUGGUGGUGCAUGGCCGUUCUUAGUUGGUGGAGUGAUUUGUCUGCUUAAUUGCGAUAACGAACGAGACCUUAACCUGCUAAAUAGCCCGUAUUGCUUUGGCAGUACGCUGGCUUCUUAGAGGGACUAUCGG
rnacentral:rRNA from 1 species